GUGGGGAAUCUUCCGCAAUGGACGAAAGUCUGACGGAGCAACGCCGCGUGAGUGAAGAAGGUUUUCGGAUCGUAAAGCUCUUUCGUUAGGGACGAACGUGCUCUUUGUGAAUAAUGAGGAGUAAUGACGGUACCUAAAUAAGAAGCCACGGCUAACUACGUGCCAGCAGCCGCGGUAAUACGUAGGUGGCAAGCGUUGUCCGGAAUUAUUGGGCGUAAAGCGCGCGCAGGCGGGAUAUCAAGUCUGUCUUAAAAGUUCGAGGCUCAACCUCGUGAGGGGACAGAAACUGGUAUUCUUGAGUGUCGGAGAGGAAAGUGGAAUUCCAAGUGUAGCGGUGAAAUGCGUAGAGAUUUGGAAGAACACCAGUGGCGAAGGCGACUUUCUGGACGAUGUCUGACGCUGAGGCGCGAAAGCUAGGGGAGCGAACGGGAUUAGAAACCCCGGUAGUCC
rnacentral:rRNA from 1 species